CGCAUGGCUUUCCAUAGUUAACAAAAUUGUUUUCAUGACGACGAAAAUAUUCAUACAAAAUUGAGGUUGGACCGUUCGUGCAUCAUUUUCAGGAAGAAAUUGGAACGCCAUUAGAAGCAGUAUAACAAACUGCAUUGGACCCAUCAAUCCCUGCUCUUAUCUCUCCAUCAAACCUCCCAUCUUGACUGCGGCUGUGCUGUGAUUUCUAGAACUGCAGGGUUCCCGGUCCACAGCAGGCAUGCCAGACAAUAAGAACCAGUUCAAGGAAGUGCUCCCGAAACAGGGCCUGGUCUAUCAGGAGGAACAACCCACCAUGGUCCUUUGCAAACCGAAACUCCUCCCACUCAAGUCCGUGACGUUGGAGAAGAUGGAGAAGAUGCAGAAGGACGCCCAGGACAAGGUCCAGGAGCAGGAGAUGGCAGAGAGGCUUCAGCAGUCUCAAGGAAUCGGUGGCUUCUGAAGUCAAGGCUGUUACCUCAGUGGUUGUUUCUGAACUCAUUAAGAGCUCAUAAUGAGCUGAGAGUGUGAAGUAGAGUUUUUAACUGCCUGAUACUGCUUGUCAAUCAUGCAACGAUCAGAGACAUGGGUGUUUUGUUUUGCUCAAUCCAAAAGCUUAAUCAUCUGUAACCGAUCAUCUUAAAUCAAAAUAACCAAAUUAGAUUUGAUGCAGCGCUUCAGUAAAGUUGUCGCAGAAUAUAGUGAUAAAUUCAGAAAUUGGUCACAAGGUCUGUCACUUAAAGAUUUGAAAUAUUUUGUGUCAGAUGUAAUGCCUAUAAAAGGAAUUCUUCACUUUCCUGCAUGAAAUAUAUGGUUUCAUGGUAGGAUAUUGUCUGUUGCAUGCUGAUAGCCAGGAGGGUAUUAACUUUCGGGUACUCACUUUGAUUAGAUUUAACAUCCUUCUCUGUCAUGAAGAGAUAAUAUUUGUAUUCUGUUCAACUAGUGUACACAAUUUAGAC